rnacentral:lncRNA from 1 species
UUCAUAGUGCACAAACUUUGCUGGAUUCUUGGACUCAUAGCUCUCUAGUGGGGCAGGAUACAGCCCGUGGGUUAACUGACUGAGACUGGCAGACUCCUGCAGCAGGACCCGAAGGGUGUGCAGGGAAAUGGGGUUCCCAUAGCAACUGAAGGUCUUGAGCUGUGAGCAGCGACGCAGGGUGGGCAAGAUGGCAAGGAUGUGGGAGUCUGUGAAGCCACAGCGCUCUAGGACCAGGAUGGCAAGGAUGUGGGAGUCUGUGAAGCCACAGUGCUCUAGGACCAGGGUCUCCAGGGUGCCGGACAAUUUGUCUAGCAGAGCCCGGAGGGUGUCCAAGUUGAAUGAUUCCAUUGAGAACUUCCUCAGAGUCAGGGACUUCAGCUGGUUUGUGGUGGGACAUUGGAUCAGGUGCUUCAGGUCAGAUUCCUUCAGUGGACUCGCACUCAAGGAGAGGGCCUCCAAGGGUUUCUGGUUCCUAGAGAGAGAGAGAGAGAGAGAGAGAGGGAGGGAGGGAGCAGAUGCGGUGAAUGGAAGUCAGUAACAGUUCAAGGUACCAUCACUGGUGUCACCGACUCAGUCCCCAUUUCCCACAGUGCCCUGUGCUCAUCCCCAAGCAGAAAACCACAGCUCUGUCCAGGUGAGGCCAGGGGGUGACAUGCAGGAAGGAUGAAGCCAGGCAAGACCGGCCACUCUUGAUGCAGCUGGGUCCGUGUCCUCGGCAAAGUGUGUGUUGCUCCCCCGCGAGGCCCAGACUCCCGCACCUCCCAGGGGCAUCGCUAUGGUUUAGGAAUGGGCUGCCCCCCCAAAGCUAACGCACUCAGCGGCGGGCCUUUGGGAAAACGGCUAGAUCGCGGUGUGGCAUCCGGGCUGGUCCGAGGGUUGGUUUAGCGUGGCCGAAGGCCAUGCAAUCGAUCGGGACGGAAACACUCGGCUCUUUCCCCUCUGCUGGGUGCGGAUGGUAACAAGCAACGGAACUAACCGUAGCCCGCGAGGAAGCUGAAGGGAAAGGAGGGAGGCCGGCUUGCUGCUUUCUGCCUAUCCUGCAGUGGAACUGUCCUUGCUGCCCCUGCGGUGUUCCGAAGCCGGCCAACCACGGACCCGAAUCUCUGAGCUGUGACCUCAAAUCAAACUUGGCUCCUUUUUACCUUGCAGGGUUCGGGCAUCCUAUUUUGGCGCCGCCAGCUUCGGAGGAGCACCCGGCCGCCUUUCUGAAAGGUGGGCAGAGAGAAACGGGACCGCGCCCCACCGGAGCUGCUGAGUGCCGUCCUCUGUGCACCCUUAGUUAACUGCUCUCUCCUACCUCUUCCAGCAGCACCGUAACCUAGACACGCUCCUUCAAGACAAAGAAAUCGCGGCUGCCCUCCUCCCGCCGCCGGCUCCCACCCCGCUGCCUUUCUGAGAGUGGGGCCGGGUGCGGAUCUCCUGUUCCACGUUGGUCCCUGCCUUCACGGGUCCCUAUGGGACGCGGCAGACCUCACUGCGGGUCCAGACGGUGCUGUGCAGCCACUUCCCGCUACCUCCCAGGCUACCAGCCGCGGGGCACACAGACGCCCUCUUCCUCUCUACCCUACCCGCACCUCGAAUGUGCAGCCGAGCUCGCCACCCACUCACCUGAAGAUCUUGUGCAGUUUUCCUUCCAAGAAGAAGACCUUAUCUAUGUGAAGCUCCCGGAGACUUUGCAUCUGGCCUAAGUGAUAAGCAUAGAUGCGGGAAUGCCAUUUGUUUUUCGAGGGUGAAUAAUAUUUGUCUGGGUCCAUGCUGCCGAAGCGAAAUGUGUGAAGGUUCUUCAUCUUCUUGAGCUGAGGAACGAAGGCUCGCAUGCUUUCGCGAGUCCAGUCGCUGAGCACAUGCACCUCCCGGAUAGAGUCCAGCUGCACAGCACGCAGCAGCUUCACCACGUGAAAGACAGCACAGGAAGUGAUCGUCACCUUCUCAGAGAGCAGGUGUACCGCGGCUCUUCUCUUCCGGACCCACUUCAAGAGACACACCUGCAACGCAUCGUGGUUGGCAUAGGUACUACAGGAUUCAAAAUGGAGCUGCGCGAGUACCGUCAGGCUCGGCUUCUUCUUCCUCGGCCCCCGCUCGCCCGUUUCCUCGCUGCUGGCAUCCCCCGAGUGGGCAACUCUCACGGUCCCGGGCCGUGAGGUCCAGAAGUCCCGGUGUACGUCCCUCCAAUCCAGCACCCGCAGUCUCCGCCUGCUGUGGGCGACACAGGAAUCGGUUUCAGCACUGAGACCAAAAGACCCAGCCUCCUACCUGAGCUUCUCUUCUUUCCCUCUCUGGACAUCGCGGACGCCCUGCCCUUCCUGCCUUCCUUUGCCACCCUCCACCCCUCCCACGUGGUGUGCUUCGACCUCUGGCUCUUCUGAGAAGGGGCAGGGGCAGAUUUCACACAUGCUCACCGCAUCCCCCACGUGCAGCAGUUUCAUGAGGAAACCCCUGGGCGGGUGGUGCUCGGUUCGGUGAAGGCCAGCACCUCCUCCACGCCAGAAGCCGCUCCCUCCCGAGCCCCCCGUGUCCCGAACACUGACUCUCCCUGCUCGGGACUCCCGGGACCCUCCUUCCAGGGUCCGUGGAUCUCCCUCACCUGGGGUGAACCUUCUGGGACAGCUGCCUGUCCAGGCCAUCCAGCAGGGCU